UGCGUAGGCAGCAAGCGUUGUUCGGAGUUACUGGGCGUAAAGGGUGCGUAGGCGGUUGUUUAAGUUUGGUGUGAAAUCUCCCGGCUCAACUGGGAGGGUGCGCCGAAUACUGAAUGACUAGAGUGCGGGAGAGGAGAGUGGAAUUCCUGGUGUAGCGGUGAAAUGCGUAGAUAUCAGGAGGAACACCGGUGGUGUAGACGGCUCUCUGGACCGUAACUGACGCUGAGGCACGAAAGCGUGGGUAGCAAACAGG
rnacentral:rRNA from 1 species